CGUAGGUAGCCUGCCUUGUAGCGGGGGAUAACUAUUGGAAACGAUAGCUAAUACCGCAUAACAAUGGAUGACACAUGUCAUUUAUUUGAAAGGGGCAAUUGCUCCACUACAAGAUGGACCUGCGUUGUAUUAGCUAGUAGGUGAGGUAACGGCUCACCUAGGCGACGAUACAUAGCCGACCUGAGAGGGUGAUCGGCCACACUGGGACUGAGACACGGCCCAG
rnacentral:rRNA from 1 species